rnacentral:rRNA from 1 species
GUGGGGAAUAUUGGACAAUGGGCGAAAGCCUGAUCCAGCCAUGCCGCGUGUGUGAAGAAGGUCUUCGGAUUGUAAAGCACUUUAAGUUGGGAGGAAGGGCAGUAAGUUAAUACCUUGCUGUUUUGACGUUACCGACAGAAUAAGCACCGGCUAACUUCGUGCCAGCAGCCGCGGUAAUACGAAGGGUGCAAGCGUUAAUCGGAAUUACUGGGCGUAAAGCGCGCGUAGGUGGUGUUGUAAGUUGGAGGUGAAAUCCCCGGGCUCAACCUGGGAACUGCCUCCAAAACUGCAUGACUAGAGUACGGUAGAGGGUAGUGGAAUUUCCUGUGUAGCGGUGAAAUGCGUAGAUAUAGGAAGGAACACCAGUGGCGAAGGCGACUACCUGGACUGAUACUGACACUGAGGUGCGAAAGCGUGGGGAGCAAACAGGAUUAGAUACCCCAGUAGUCC